rnacentral:rRNA from 1 species
GUGGGGAAUUUUGGACAAUGGGCGCAAGCCUGAUCCAGCAAUGCCGCGUGCAGGAAGAAGGCCUUCGGGUUGUAAACUGCUUUUGUACGGAACGAAACGGCUCUGGUUAAUACCCGGGGCUAAUGACGGUACCGUAAGAAUAAGCACCGGCUAACUACGUGCCAGCAGCCGCGGUAAUACGUAGGGUGCAAGCGUUAAUCGGAAUUACUGGGCGUAAAGCGUGCGCAGGCGGUUUUGUAAGACAGGCGUGAAAUCCCCGGGCUCAACCUGGGAAUUGCGCUUGUGACUGCAAAGCUGGAGUGCGGCAGAGGGGGAUGGAAUUCCGCGUGUAGCAGUGAAAUGCGUAGAUAUGCGGAGGAACACCGAUGGCGAAGGCAAUCCCCUGGGCCAGCACUGACGCUCAUGCACGAAAGCGUGGGGAGCAAACAGGAUUAGAAACCCGAGUAGUCC